GAUCCAGCGCUCCGGGUCCGCUACCUUGUGGGGCUCCAGUUCCAGGACGAGCGCUCCGUAGUUUCUAUGCUCCAGGUCCGCUACCUGGUGAAACUCGAUUUCAGGGCGAAGUGCUCCAUAGUUUAUGCGCGCAAGCUCAACUACAUGGUGAAACUAGACUUCCAGGACAAGCGCGACGUGGUUCCUGUUUCAUAUUUACAGUGAAUUAAUUCGAUUUAUUUUCGCACAAGCCCAAAUUCAGGAGCUGUCAAUGCGCUAAUAAUAAUUAUACAAUUUUUUAUAAUUUUCUCAUAAUCUUCUUGGUGAAAUGUGUCGAUGAAAAAAUUGUAUUAAUCCUUACACAAUACGUUUGAUGUGUUCUAAUACUGAAAAUAUUUAUCAGUAUACGAGGUAUAACCCGAGGUGUUUAGCGCUGGUCGUUGGAGAUGGUCUGAGCUGGACGAGGAGGAGGACGAGAAAGACGAGGAGAACAAGGUGGACGAGUGGGACGAGGAUUUGUGCUCGGUAUAAUCCGAGGUGGUUGACGGUGGUUAGAGGUGGUCGGAGGUGGACGAGGAGGAGGACGAG